rnacentral:rRNA from 1 species
AUUGAACGCUGGCGGCAUGCCUAACACAUGCAAGUCGAACGGUAACAGGCCCUUCGGGUGCUGACGAGUGGCGGACGAGUGAGUAAUACUUAGGAAUCUACCCUGUAGUGGGGGACAACCCGGGGAAACUCGGGCUAAUACCGCAUACGCUCUACGGAGGAAAGCGGGGGACCGCAAGGCCUCGCGCUAUUGGAUGAGCCUAAGCCCGAUUAGCUAGUUGGUGGGGUAAUGGCCUACCAAGGCAAUGAUCGGUAGCUGGUCUGAGAGGACGACCAGCCACACUGGGACUGAGACACGGCCCAGACUCCUACGGGAGGCAGCAGUGGGGAAUAUUGGACAAUGGGCGAAAGCCUGAUCCAGCGAUGCCGCGUGUGUGAAGAAGGCCUGC